rnacentral:misc_RNA from 1 species
AUAAAUUAAGAGAUAGUGGGAAGGGGGAGAAGACUAAAAAAAGAUGAUAACAUGAGAAGUUUCAGAAUCAAUCAUAUGAUACAAGAAAAGGAAUAACCAUGGACAUGAAUUCAUCAUAAUUGAAGGUUGCUGUACCAGUAUAACGUGAAUCCUUCUGCUUAAAUUUCUCAGUCAAACCCUUCAGAAUCAUACCACAUUCAACAAAAUUGUCAAAAUUGAGUUCAAUCUUUCUGCCACUUUCAUCAUCAUACUUGGAAAUCAGAACUUUGAGAACAGACGGUGGCAUUGCAUAACCAAUGCCAUAAAGGGCAUCCCUCAGUUCAAAUAAAUCAAUUUUCCCACUCCUGUCUUUAUC